rnacentral:rRNA from 1 species
AGCACGUUAUGGUGGGCACUCUAAGGAGGAACUGCCGGUGGACAAACCGGAGGAAGGUGGGGAUGACGUCAAGUCAUCAUGGCCCUUACGGCCUGGGCUACACACGUGCUACAAUGGUCGGUACAAAGGGUUGCCAAGCCGCGAGGUGGAGCUAAUCCCAUAAAACCGAUCGUAGUCCGGAUCGCAGUCUGCAACUCGACUGCGUGAAGUCGGAAUCGCUAGUAAUCGUGAAUCAGAAUGUCACGGUGAAUACGUUCCCGGGCCUU